rnacentral:rRNA from 1 species
ACCAGACUCCUACGGGAGGCAGCAGUCGGGAAUAUUGCGCAAUGGAGGAAACUCUGACGCAGUGACGCCGCGUAUAGGAAGAAGGUUUUCGGAUUGUAAACUAUUGUAGACAGGGAAGAAGAAAGACAGUACCUGUAGAGUAAGCUCCGGCUAACUACGUGCCAGCAGCCGCGGUAAUACGUAGGGAGCAAGCGUUAUCCGGAAUUAUUGGGUGUAAAGGGUGCGUAGACGGGAAUACAAGUUAGUUGUGAAAUCCCUCGGCUUAACUGAGGAACUGCAACUAAAACUAUAUUUCUUGGGUGCGGGAGAGGAAAGUGGAAUUCCUAGUGUAGCGGUGAAAUGCGUAGAUAUUAGGAGGAACACCAGUGGCGAAGGCGACUUUCUGGACCGUAACUGACGUUGAGGCACGAAAGUGUGGGGAGCAAACAGGAUUAGAUACCCGAGUACC